AUCUCAGUAGGAGUUUCUUUCUUUCUUUGGAACGAUACAGAGAAGAUUAGCAUGGCCCCUGCGCAAGGAU
rnacentral:snRNA from 1 species